GAUAGAUCAGAGAGGGAAAAUCCCUUUCCUCUCCCCUGCAGUGAGUUCUUAGGCUCACAUUCCUGUGUGUAAACACAGAAAAAAAAAGAAGAAAAGACAGAAAAAAGGGGAAUCUUGGAUGAAUAAGGAAAGUGAUUGAAGGGAAAACUCAUGACACAUACAUGAGCCAAAAACCCACUCUAGCGAACUGAAACUAAAUCUUGCAUAAUUUUGCAUUGAUGACUGGGCUGAAACAAGAACACAAGGACACGAAAGGAAAGGAAAAAUAAACAGUGCACUCAAUCCAUGCAACAAAGAUGAAACUCUCUGGGUUCCUGGAAGUGACUGAGAGUUAGUUAGACCGCAGCCACAGAUAAGGCCCAGGCUGAGACUGACGUAGGAACCUGAACAUCAUCAGAAGGAGAUGAAGGGCUUAUGGCGGAGCAGUGGCGCAUGUGUGGCAUCCUGUACAGCCCAGAAACACAAACCAACAUCCCCUAUAGCACACAGACCUGCUGCUGGUGUAGCAAACAAACUCACAGCCUGAGACAAGACAUAAACAGCCUGAACCAAAUGCAACCACUCUUAUUUAAAAAAAAACUUGAAUGGGUAUAGAGGAGACUAUUAAAAAUUCCAACAGCAAGAUGAGAGAAA